UGCUCAGUGAAUGUUGGGCUAAUGAAUGGAUAUGAGUUGGCCAUUCCUUAUUUUAAGGAACUUUAAUCACAUAAAGAUAAGUGGCACAGUUUCUCCUGUGAUACUCACAUGUGGGUUUAGCUGUCCUGGGCUAGCAAUGCUUCAGGAAAGCUUUUGUUUGACAAAUACAGACCUUGGAAACCAAGACAGUAACAUCUGGAACCUCCUGUCUGGUAAGGAACAAAGGGAAGCCUCAGGCUUUACUCUGGAAAGUCAGAGGUUAAUAAAGAUGUGUUUGAUUUGGAAAUGA
rnacentral:lncRNA from 12 species